UUGGAGGGCAAGUCUGGUGCCAGCAGCCGCGGUAAUUCCAGCUCCAAUAGCGUAUAUUAAAGUUGUUGCAGUUAAAAAGCUCGUAGUUGAAUUUCGGGAUCAAUAUUUCGGUCAUGCCGUUGGUAUGCACUGUUAUCAUUAUUUCUCACCUUCUAAAGAACCGUAAUGCCAUUAAUUUGGUGUUACCGGGAAUUAGGAUGUUUACCUUGAAAAAAUUAGAGUGUUUAAAGCAGGCUCACGCUUGAAUACAUUAGCAUGGAAUAAUGAAAUAGGAACAUCCGAUUCUAUUUUGUUGGUUUCUAGGAUCGAUGUAAUGAUUAAUAGGGAUAGUUGGGGGCAUUAGUAUUCAAUUGUCAGAGGUGAAAUUCUUGGAUUUAUUGAAGACUAACUACUGCGAAAGCAUUUGCCAAGGAUGUUUUCAUUAAUCAAGAACGAAAGUUAGGGGAUCGAAGACGAUCAGAUACCGUCGUAGUCUUAACCAUAAACUAUGCCGACUAGGGAUCGGAUGAUGUUAAUUUUUUAAUGACUCAUUCGGCGCCUUACGGGAAAC
rnacentral:rRNA from 1 species